GUGAUAUGCGUAGAUAUAUGGAAGAACACCAGUGGCGAAGGGCGGCUGUCUGGUCUGUAACUGACGCUGAGGGCUCGAAAAGCAUGGGUAGCGAACAGGAUUAGAUACCCUGGUAGUCCAUGCCGUAAACGAUGAAUGCUAGGUGUUGGAGGGUUUUCCGCCCUUCAGUGCCGCAAAAAACGCAUUAAGCAUUCCGCCUGGGGAGUACGACCGCAAGGUUGAAACUCAAAGAAAAUGACGGGGGCCCGCACAAGCGGUGGAGCAUGUGGUUUAAUUCGAAGCAACGCGAAGAACCUUACCAGGUCUUGACAUCUUUUGAUCACCUGAGAGAUCAGGUUUCCCCUUCGGGGGCAAAAUGACAGGUGGUGCAUGGUUGUCGUCAGCUCGUGUCGUGAGAUGUUGGGUUAAGUCCCGCAACGAGCGCAACCCUUAUGACUAGUUGCCAGCAUUUAGUUGGGCACUCUAGUAAGACUGCCGGUGAAAAACCGGAGGAAGGUGGGGAUGACGUCAAAUCAUCAUGCCCCUUAUGACCUGGGCUACACACGUGCUACAAUGGAUGGUACAACGAGUUGCGAGACCGCGAGGUCAAGCUAAUCUCUUAAAGCCAUUCUCAGUUCGGACUGUAGGCUGCAACUCGCCUACACGAAGUCGAAUCGCUAGAUUCCUAAC
rnacentral:rRNA from 2 species